rnacentral:rRNA from 1 species
ACCUUCGGGUUAGUGGCGGACGGGUGAGUAACGCGUGGGAAUCUGCCCUCAGGAGGGGGAUAACGGUUGGAAACGGCCGCUAAUACCCCAUAUGCCGAGAGGUGAAAUGAAUUUCGCCUGAGGAUGAGCCCGCGUCUGAUUAGCUAGUUGGUGAGGUAAGAGCUCACCAAGGCAUCGAUCAGUAGCUGGUCUGAGAGGAUGAUCAGCCACACUGGGACUGAGACACGGCCCAGACUCCUACGGGAGGCAGCAGUGGGGAAUUUUCCGCAAUGGGCGAAAGCCUGACGGAGCAACGCCGCGUGAGGGAUGAAGGCCUCUGGGCUGUAAACCUCUUUUAUCAAGGAAGAAGAUCCGACGGUACUUGAUGAAUAAGCCACGGCUAAUUCCGUGCCAGCAGCCGCGGUAAUACGGGAGUGGCAAGCGUUAUCCGGAAUUAUUGGGCGUAAAGCGUCCGCAGGCGGCCCAACAAGUCUGCUGUUAAAAAGUGGAGCUUAACUCCAUCAUGGCAGUGGAAACUGUUGGGCUCGAGUGUGGUAGGGGCAGAGGGAAUUCCCGGUGUAGCGGUGAAAUGCGUAGAUAUCGGGAAGAACACCAGUGGCGAAGGCGCUCUGCUGGGCCAUCACUGACGCUCAUGGACGAAAGCCAGGGGAGCGAAAGGGAUUAGAUACCCCUGUAGUCCUGGCCGUAAACGAUGAACACUAGGUGUCGGGGGAAUCGACCCCUCCGGUGUCGUAGCCAACGCGUUAAGUGUUCCGCCUGGGGAGUACGCACGCAAGUGUGAAACUCAAAGGAAUUGACGGGGGCCCGCACAAGCGGUGGAGUAUGUGGUUUAAUUCGAUGCAACGCGAAGAACCUUACCAGGGUUUGACAUCCUGCGAAUCUCUUGGAAACUUGAGAGUGCCUUCGGGAGCGCAGUGACAGGUGGUGCAUGGCUGUCGUCAGCUCGUGUCGUGAGAAUGUUUGGGUUAAGUCCCGCAACGAGCGCAACCCACGUCUUUAGUUGCCAGCAAUUUAGUUGGGCACUCUAG